UUUGAUAUUUUUCAAAGAUUCAACUAUUUUUGGUUAACACACCAAAAAUUUCAAGUGAUAUGGAUUUGUAGAAAAAAAUUAAAAUUUAAACACUAUCGGACAUUCGUGAUCGUCAGAUCGGCUUAGAUUCAAUCUAGGCCGUUGGGCUCAUAUGUUCAUAUGAGCUAGUGGGCUAAUCCCAGCUUUUUCUUAUAUAUAUAUAUUGGGAGAGUUUGAGGUCAGCCUGCUAGCUAACAACUACAGUUGCCCAACAGCCCAUAUUGAAUCCGGGCCAGUCCAAUAGUCACGAUUGAAUUUUAAAUUUUAAUUUUUAUGUACUCUUGGAAAAUAGGCGAACCUAAUAGAAAUAUUAAAGCAAUAAUUUGUAAAAAAAUAAAUUGACUAAAAUACCUUUGAAAGCUACAAGGGUAUUUUGAUCAAUUUAUUUUUUGCGAAUAACUUUUUCAAUAUUUUUAUAGGGUGUACCUUGAUGGGAAAAAUGGAUGUUCCAAAUUUCAAGUGAUUCCUAUUUGUAGAAAAAAGAUUAAAAUUCAAAUACGAAAUACAAUUGUGAACGUAAAAUUGGCUAGAUUCAACCUGGGCCAUUGGGCUUACGCUAUUCCAUCAGCUAGUUUUAUAUAUAUAUAUAUAUAUAUAUAUAUAUAUAUAAAAUUGAAUCUGGGCAAAUUUGACGGUCACGAUCUUAUUUCGAAUAUAAUUUUAAUAUUUUUUCAAUAAAUCCAAAUUACAUGAAAUUUGAGGUGUCCAUUCUUCUCAUCACGGCACACCUUCUAAAAAUAUUUUAAAAAAUAACUCACAACAAAUAAGUUGACCAAAAUACCCAUGAAAUGUUUAAUGGGUAUUUUGGUCAAAUUGUUUUUUGUAAACUUUUUUUUUGAUAUUUUUAUUCGAUUCUCAUAUUUUUUAAGAAAUAAACGCUCCAAAUUUCAAGUGAUUUGGAUUUGUAAGAAAAAAAUUAAAAUUAAAAUACAAAAUGAAAUCGUGACUAUUAGAUCAGCCUAGAUUCAACUUGGGCCGUUGGGCUAUACUGUAGCCGUCAGCUAGUGGGCUGACAGGAUCUUAUAUAUAUUAUAUAUAUAUAUAUAUAUAUAUAUAUAUAUAUACUUAUAUUAAGUUAACUUAACGUAACGUAACGUUACGUUACCGUUCCGUCGUCGUCNNNNNNNNNNNNNNNNNNNNGUAUUACUAUAUAUAUAUAUAUAUAUAUAUAUAUAUAUAUAUAUAUAUUCAUUAAGUAACUUCAAAGGAACUUGUUACCGUUCCUGCCUAGGUGUUGCUUGAUCUUUACAAACCAAACGCCUGCAAUUUGUCCUAUUUAGAGUUGAGUUUCUGUGUAGUUUCCCUAUGUUUAUGCCAUGCAACUGUUUUUCUGUUUAUACUCAAGAUCUCCAUUCUGACACACUUUAUGGUUGUGAGCAGGUGUUGCUUUCAAGGCAUUUGAAUCUAUUUUUUGCAACUGGAGCAUUGAUGAUGCCUUCCUCGCUUUAUUUCUUUUUGAAGGUAUAUAACUCGCUUGCCUAGCUGUAGUGAUUGGAAUCAUGGUAGUCUGAUUACAUGAUGGAUGUGUUGAUAGAUUGAUACCCACCAGUGCACGUAAUGACCUAGUGGUGGAUACAGUCUCUCACUCAAUCACCAUCCAUCAUUUCAUUGGAUGGUGAUGACCCCAAUGGACAAUGGUUUUCCAUGGUCCAAAGAUUAUAGAUAGGGGGCUUUACCUCAAUUCCACAUGUUAUGAUGCACUUUAAAAUUUACCCUUGUAUGUGGUAUUUUUAUGUUAUAUGGCAGACUUUGGUUGUCAAACCGUAUUAUCUUAGGAGGGAGAGAAGAAAAGCUCUAGAAAAAUGCCAAAGUACUUCAGCUCAGGUAAAAUAGAUUAGUUCUAAAUAAUACUUGGCCUUUUACUUCAAGGAUACCUAUUACUGUUAUUAUGCAUGUCUCUUUUUCUUUUUCUUUUGUUUUCCCCCAAACUUGCAUUUCCAUGGAAAAUGUUGCGUCACAAUUUCGCUCCUGAUUAGAAAAACUUUAUUGUUCAAACUUCAAACUAAUGAUAGUGAACUGGGUGGUGUUGUAUGUGCAUGAAAACCAUGUUGAUCUGCCUAACAUAUCUAUGUAAAAGACUCUUUUCUGGUCUGCAUUUCAUGUCACAUAUUAAAAACUUUAUUCUUUUUUAGAUUUUAUGGACAUUUUUCACAUUUGUCUAUAAGAAAACUUUGAGGUUUCCUGAUUUGAUUAUAUUUUUAUGCUUUGCUAUGCCAUAGAAGCAGUUCCACAGACAAUGACGAGAAAGUCCUGGAGUAACUUCUGACAUUUCUCCCUUUUUGUAUCUUUCCAUGGAUAAUGACCAUAAACUCCCACUCCCUUAUGAAUCAAAAUGACCCAAAAUACCUGCUUUCUUAUGUAUGAAUUUUGGAGGAUGACAAAUUAUUCAUGUCAAAAUGACUCAAGAUUUUUUACAAGAAAAUAUUCAUUACCGCUUCAAAAAAUGAUACGGACAUAUUAAGUAUUGGUUAUCUUCAGGUUAAGGAGGCGAAGGUUGCAGCUGAAAAAGCUCAGCAAUUGUUGCAAAAUGUUGCCAUUAGAAAGAAAAAUAAGCAGUCAGAAACAGGGGGUUUGGUUAUUACAAAAGCAAUAUAUGGGAACCUCAAAGCUUCCAAGAAAAGGAGCGAGCAAGGUGGGGAAGAAGAUGAUGAGUUGGUCUCACAAGUUAUUGAUGUCACCUUGCCUCUUAACUUUUUGGUGACUGAUAAUGGGCAGCUCAAGGUAUGCUCUCCUCUUUCCCUUCAACUAUUGUGAAUUUAUCUUAGAAAUUACUGCAUGGAUGGGUUUAUUUAGGAGGAGCAUGUCUUCCAAGCAAGCUUAAAUAUGUAGGGGAUUGCUUCCUUUAGUGUUUCUGUAACAUAUGAACUUUUCUCUCUAAUCAUUGGGUCCUCUAUUUCCCUAUUUUUUCCAAGUAUACUAUAAUCCAAUGGACUAGGAACACAAUUACCUGUUGAGUCAUCACACUCACAUUGAAAUGGUGGAAUGUUAUAAGGAGUAACCAAGUUUGGGGCCAUUGUCAGGAUUGGACUCAAGGCAUACGUGGCCAGGGGAUGCUUCCCUAUUGGUCUACCAAAAAAAAACACACACACACACACACACAUUGAGGCCAUGUUCUGGAUGGUUCCACUCUCUCUCUCUCACCAUCCAUCAUUGCAAUGGACAGUGGGGACCAAUAGCAAAAGUAUACUUGUUUGAAUUCCUUAGUUCAUUGUAUCCCAAGUUUGAAUCUUACCACUGCACUACCCAAAAGAUAAAAAAACAUAAAAUAUGCUGUUAUUGUCAUUUCUUAUUUUAAAGCUUCUUAUUUGUUUUUUAUUGCAUUUGCUUAGCUUCACGAGGGCAUAAAGAAGUCCGGUAUCAUGGGGUUCUGUGAUCCGUGCCCAGGAGACCCGAAGCAACUGCGAGUGGAGUACACUUACAAAGGAGAUAACUAUGAGGUUUGUAACAUCAAUACCUCUUAUUUAGAAAAGCUUUUAUUCAAGGGAAAGUAUACCAUACACCAGUGGUGCAUUGUAUAUGGUACACAAUGGGUUAUGGUUAAUAUCCAUAAUGACCGUGAUGCCCUUGUUAUGUGCCGUUGCCCAUAUAUAGGUGGUGUAUGAUAUACCUAUUUGCUUAAAUAGAACAUACUAAAUCUGAAUAAGAUCAAGGAUUUCUAUUAGGAUGGCAGAUCAUUUUACAAAUAAUUGGAAUUAUUUUAGAUCCUCAGGACCCCAACUUAACUUCCAACUUUUGAGCUCACAGGUUUUGUUCUUCAAUUCUUCUUAUGCCCCUACCGUCGGUGCAUUGCAUGAAAUUUAGGAUUGAGGAGAGUUUUAAUGUUUAGGUGGUUCUUGACAAAACAUUUGCUCGAGAAAGAAUCGAUGUGGCUCGGUUGGACGAACUAUCCCCUACCCCCUACCCCCAGCUCAACCUAGGGGAAAUGCCAAUGCUAUUAUUAUAUUAUUUUUAUUGAAUUUUGGCUGGUUCAGCCGAUCCAGAUUGCCGACUUGGCCAAUCUGGGUCACUACAUCCAGACAAUCCAGGUUUUUAAACACUGGAAAAUAAUGUUUUUCAUUUUCUUAUCUGCAGGUGAUUGUUGAUGACUAUGGAGAACUGUUUAUACCACAAGAGCAUCAUAUGGUGUGAAUGGUGUUUCGAGGAUCACUUACCAAAAAAGAGUGUUGUUUCGAAUAAGGCCUUUGAACACUUGUAGGUUGCCUCAACAAAUUUUGCAUGCUAGGGCAUGUUGGAGAGGGCCCUUAGAUAUAUAUUCUAGUUUAUUUCGAUUAGAAAAAGAAUAAAUCUAAAUUCUUCUUAAAUGAAAAUUUAGGCAGAUAUUUAGUGAGAGGACAUCGCAGAACCAUCCCCUCUGUUGAUGUCAAACGGUUGAGGGCUUUAUAUACCAUUAGGGCAAGUGGGAUUUUACCCCUUAGGGGUAUUAGUGUUACUACAGUUCUAUAAUACAUGUAAUACACAGAAUGGGCUUGUAGUUUGAGGAAUCUUUCAAGUUGGGAUUUGUACUUUUUUUAUUAAAAAGAAAGUAAUAUUAAAGAAAUGAACUUGAGUUCUUGAAAGUCUAGAUCCACCAUUCAAUUAAAUGGAUUGCCUAUGUGGUAAAUGGUUAAUGUGCUUUAUCUGUUUUUAUGCGUUUUGUUAUAAAUUAUUAUUAUUAUUUUAUUUUUAUUCUGCUCUCUAGGUUGAUGCGUAAAGUUUGGAGUUCAGCAAACCCCAUCUAGGUGGUAUCGACUAAAGCUAUAAUGUAAACCCUUUUAUUUUUUAGGGUAAUUCAAUGGGGAAGACAUGCUUUAUCCGUUUUUUCAAGUAGAUUAGGAGUGUUUAACUUUUUGAAGGUAUUUCUAAGGUGGUAUUAGUGGUGAAAAGUCUUAUUUCAAUAGGGAUUGGGCCUUUACUUUUUGGUGAGAAAGGAGUCAGAGACCUCCCCAAAGAACUCGGUAAACUACUGCAAAGGCUCAAGCCAUUUCUGUAAUAUAAACCCUUUAGUUUAUAAGAUGUUUCCGUUUUAUAGGAAAUCUUUCCAUGUUUCCUUACCCUACUGCAUAAAAACAUAUGUACUUCCCUUUAUCCAACCGUCCAUUUUGAAUGGAUAGUUGAGAUGGUCUCAAUCACAAUGCUUCAUCUCUGCAUUAUUUUAUUUUUAAUUUUUUUUUCCUAAAAAUUAGUUUGACACCAAAUUUUUGGCAUUCACUCCUCUCUUAAACAAGCACUUGUAAAAAAUAUAAAAAUAAAAUAAAAUGAUCAAAAUACCCCUGAAAGUUUCAAGGGGUACUUUGGUUAUUAUAUUUUAUUAAAACAUUCUUUUUAAUAUUUUUUUUAGGUGUGCACCAUUGAAAAGAUGACGCGUAAAAUUUCUUAUUCAUACAAUUUUUAGAAAAAAAAAAACGAAAUAAGAUACAUUGAGGCAUCAAACUAGUCAAAUUAGAUCAAACGGUUAUCUAAAUUGGACGGUUGGAUGGGGAAGAAGUAUAUAUGUUCUAUGUAAUGGGCGGUUGGAUGGGGACGAAGUAUAUAUGAUUUAUGUAAGGGAAGUAUGGAAACCUUUUCCUUGUUAGUUAGUACUCAAUUUUUGUGCUUCCAAUGCAAUAUCUUUUUUAGUACGUGCAAUGAUUAGUGCAUUAGGUUUUCUGCAUGCUGAGCAGGGUACUUCAUCUAACUGGAAUCUUCAAUAAUGUGGGGAGUUUUCCCAUGGGGUUUGAACCAAAAUAUGCCCAAUUAAAUUCUCCACCUUCUCAUUAACAAAAUUUGAUAGAAAUAAACCCCAAGUUGGACAGACUCUCAAUAGAAACUGACCUUAAAUGUUUCAAAGGAUUUAUUUAUGUCAUUUUGCCCUAAAUUUGUUUCCCGUUCUUCAUAAUUUCAGGGAAACCUGCCAAACCCAUUUGGGCCUAUGAAAAUCCUUCUACCUUGGUAUGUGUGAAAAUGCUUAGGUAAAAUUAUUUUAAUACGCAAGAACUCUUCCAUACGAUUAGGUGCAAGAGUUUUUCACACCAAUUGAUCGUAAUGUAUUUUUUCACACUAAAUAUCAGCCAAUUAAUGUGAAAAAAUUUCUACACCUAAUCUUUUUAUGUGAUGAUGCUUCCACAAAAAUAUUUUCACACGUACCAAUCAUGCCAUUUAAUGAAGGAGAACAUUUUUAGGACAAUAACAAGAAGAGAUAAUUUGAAGAAACCCAAGCCUUGAGAACCCGUGUGCCUAAGCCCUAGAACUAGAAUGUAAACCCCUCUUUUUGCUUUUUAUAUUUGUAAAUUGGAUGUAAAUCGUAAUAGGUUUCUCAAGAGUAUCCUGUACACAAGUGUAUACAUUUUUCUUGCGAAUUUGUACUGUGAUUGUGUGUCUAUGGUUUGUUGCCUUGAUUGGACUCCCUUUCAUAAAAAUAUAUUCAAAACGCACUUCCCCCACACGUUAAAUGUCAAGCACUAAACACCGGCUGCCCACUAUGAGCUACUCAACAAAAAUAAAGAAUUGUGCUUCAGUAGGACUUGGCGUUUCCCUUUCUUGUACUUGCCCCUUUAAACAUCUAUGUUAGAUUUAGUUGAAACAAAAAUAGCCUCAUUUAUCAUUUUCAUCAAAGCUUUUCUCAACUAAUUGGUGUCAACUACACAAAUACUGGUUCGCCAUUCUACUCUAAGAACUAUACACUCAGUGAAGCCAUAAGUCCCUAUAUUUUUUAUUACUACUUUAAACUAUGUCUUUUUGGGCCUACAUCUUGUCUUUUUAGAGCUUUUCACUUGAAUUAACUCGCAUCUCGUAAUAGGUGUUGUAUUGGAUCUGAGCCGUACAUAACCAGUCCACCUAAGUCUACUCUAUCUCAUCUUAUCGCCUAUUGGUACCAAACUUCAAUUUUUUUGAAUGUAUUCAUUUCGAAUUAUAUCCAUUCUUGUCUUGCCACUCAUCCUAAUUACACCUAUAUUUUCCUAAAAAGAUUGAGGGUAAUCAUAGUGCCACUCAUCUUAAUUACACCUAUAUUUUCCUAAAAAGAUUGAGGGUAAUCAUAGUAAUUGGUAAAAGGGAAAAAUGGAGUUUUGAGAUGCACCUUGUAUAAGGGAUCAAAGUGGUAUCAUACUCGUCCCUUUUGAGGUCACCCUGUUAUGCAUUACGAGAAUGGUUGACAUCAUACUUAUCCCUCUUGGGGGUCAUUUAGUAAAUGAAAUUUCUUUAACUUUCAAAAAAAAAAAGAAAAAAAAAAAAGGUCGGUGGCUUACGUGAGAGAGGAAUGCCCUAUUGUAAGCAUGACCUUCACGAAAGUUUAUAUAAGGUAUCAACCUCGUAUUGUAGAAAUAAAGUACAUUUAAAGAAUCCAUCGCAAAGAUCGUUUAGACAUUGGAAAACCCAUCAAAUUGCUCAUAUCAACCUCAAGAGGUAUAAAUAUGAAAAAAAAUAAAUUUCAAAUCCUAAAUAUAGUAUAUUUUGUAACAUAUUAUCUGGAUUGUCUAUUUUCAGGAUUUUUAAGUAUUUAUAGAUAUGGUUGAUCAAAACUAUUUUUGGCAAAAUUUUAUAGUUAGAUGACAAAAUACAUUUUUAGGUCAUCCUAAUAAAAUUUGACACCAGGAUUACAUCUCUCGACAAAGUUUAGAAGUGCGUCUUACUUAGAUUGUGUAAGGUUACAACCUUAUGCAAAUCAUGCCCAAAUAUAUAUACUGAGAUAAUCGGGUACAAAUUCCUAGCACCUAUUGCACUCCUUUCUAUCUUUAAAGCCAAACAAUAUUAUCUUUCAGCAGCCUCAUCAUACUAUCUAUUUACUCGCUCAAGUAAAAUCUCAUUUAGGAAUAACUUUAGGACCCCAUAUUUUGGGAGUGUAACCUCUUCAACCCCUAGAUUAACCUCAAGCAAAGAAAUUUCCUUGCACCCUCUAUGCGUUGAGAAGAAUAUUGCCUCAAGAUUGAAUGGAGAAAGUCUAAUUUUUAGAGGGUGAAAUCUGUGUUAGGAAACUUAAAAUUCAGCUUUUUCUUUGAGAAUAAUAAAUCCUAGGGAUUUCCAAAAUUCAAAUUAAAAAAAUCCUCUCUUCUUACCGAGGGAAUAGAUAUACUAUGCUCUCUUAAGAGCAUGGUAUACGCGCUCAUAAAAAAAGUAGUGCCUACCUGUCUUUUUCAAUCCCAAGCCUAACCCUGAGAGAGAGAAGAUAAAUACAAUAAAAAGGGAAAAACUCAUUAUUAGAGCAAAUAAAAUUUUAGAGGGGGAAAAUGGUGGGGGAGUCCUGCUUACUAAAACCCCUUGCCAAAAGAAAGGCCUAAUAAACAAAAAAAGGUGGUGGAAGUAGAAGUAAAAAAAGAGGAGGAGAACCAAAGAAGAUAAGCGGAGCAGCAGGAGAAAGUGCUCCCCUUAUCUGUGUAACUCUCCCAUGUUAUUCACCCCCUUAAUCAAUAUCUCACGAAAAACACCUUUCUCUCUUGUAUCCCCAUGUUGCCUUUACAAGGAGCUAUCGCGUAGCGAAAUAUGUAUAUAGCUUUCGGACCAAAUAUCGAACUUUUGGUUUGUAUGUGCGAAGAACUGGGAAACAAGCAAAUAAGCCAGCACCAUAGAUACAAAAAUUAAAAGUCGUUCAUCUCGCCUCACAGGAGAGCCAAAAAAAAAAAAGCUACCAAGCCAAGGCUCAUACAUAGGGAAAGCAAAGAAACUAAUGUUACAUAGACGAAACAUAAGUUUAGAGAUAUUCAAUAGUUUGAACCUGAGACCUAGUGCAUGUGAUAGCCAAAACUUGUAAUAAAUGAAGAAAUAUACUUAUUUGAUCAAUUAUAAGAAACUAUUAUAUUAUUAAAAAAGACUAAUCUAUGCUGGUGAAGCAUCAUAUCGAGCAUCUGCACAUUGAUUCGAUUUUGAGGAUUGCCCCAUGCUGUCCUUCACAAACAAUGACUCAAAACUCAGUGUAUCUGGCUCAGACUCGAGCUGGUUACUUGGACUUGGUAGGCUCAAGUCUAGAACCAAACCCAUGAAAAUCAGCCAGAGUCGGAGUUUCCCAACUGCGACAAAUAGUCGCACAAGGAGCUCACAAAAUGGAACAAGAGAACAAGGGUGGAAGUGCCUCCAAUGAGGAGGAAAAGUGCCCAAAAGCAAUCAAAGUUGAGACUACCAUCAUUGCUUUCAUCAGAUGUAAUUGGUCAGAGGAUAGCCACUUCCUUUCCAAAAGCAUAAUCUCUCCACUUUCUUUCAUCUCCAAGAUAGCUUUAGAAAUAUCAGUGGCAAGAGGGGAUCCUAUGGGAAAGGCCUGAAACAUGUACAACUGUGUAGUUGUCAUAUAAAAAAAAUGCAGUUAUUCAUGCUUGUAAUGCUGAAUAAAAAAUGGGCAAUCAAAGAAUGAAGCAAAACAAUGUCCUAGGGUGAGAUUCAAGCAUUGCAGUUGAAAAUAGUGAUUGUUUAGGUUAGAAAAGGCCCCUAUGUCUCACCUCUGUUUAGCUAACAAAUCAGCCUUGGCAUUUUUCCCAUCUCAACCCAAUAUUCUUCAAAGUCUAAGGUGCAUGCCUCCCUCUCCCUCUCUCUCAUGCAUGCCUCUCUAUUCAGAGUUAAAAACUGAACACCUCUCUGUAUCUUAUGCACGUCUCUCAACUCACUCUUUCCUCGACAUUCCAAAAUAGAUUCAACCACGCACAUACACUGCUAAUAUGUGAUAAGAUGCUAACAAAGAAUAAUAACAAAAAAUUGACCAGAUGUUUGAAACUGUACAAAUUACACACUUGUAUACUUUGCCAAUGCCACCAUCUAACCAUUAACCCCAUUUAAUAUCCUCCACCCCCUUCUCUCUCUCUCUCUAUAUAUAUAUAUAUAAAAUGUAAGGUACUACAAAACACCUAUAGGCAAAAAUGAAGAGUGAUUCUACUUACCUUCAUCAUUAUCCAAACUUCAUCGUAUGGUCAUAAUUGUCCGGUAGUAUUUUAUUUUUCAUUUUUUUCUACAAAUCGGAAUGAUUUGAAAUUUGGAGUGUGUGUACAUCUUAGUGAGACGCACCUAAUAAAAAUAUAAAAAAUAAUUCACAAAAUAUAAAUUGAUCAAUUAUGGGGGUAUUUUGAUCAAUUUAUAUUUUGUGAAUUAUUUUUUUUCAUAUUUUUAUUAGGUGUGCCUCACUAGGAUGUACACACGCUCCAAAUUUCAAGUAAUUUGGCUUUGGAGGAAAAAAAAUAAAAAUUGAAACGCUACCUAACUACGGUAACCGUGCGAUGAAGUUUGGAUGGUGAUGAGGGAAGGCGAGAUCACUGUUCAUUUUCGCUUAGAGGCGUUGGGAAAAGUUAUAUAUAUAUAUAUAUGAAAAAUAUGAGAUUAACCCACUAGCUCAUAUGAACAUAUGAGUCCAACGGCCAAGAUUGAAUUUGGACUGAUCUGAUGAUCACGGAUGUCCCGUACCGUUUGAAUUUUAGUUUUUUAUCUACAAAUCCAAAUCACUUAAAAUUGUAGGUGUAUAUUUUUCUCAUCAAGUUGCACUUAAUAAAAAUAUAAAAAUAAUUAUCCGUUAAAAAUAAAAUGAUCAACAUACCCCCUAAAACAUUUCGACGAUAUUUUGGUCAAUGUUUUUCAUAUAAAAUAUUUGUUUGAUAUUAUUCAAAAGUUCACUUAUUUUUUAUGAACACACACCUAAAAUUUCAAGUGAUUUGGAUUAUAAAAAAAGCACUAAAAUUCAAAUACUACCGAACAUUCGUGAUCGUCAGAUCUGGGACGUUGAACUCAUAUAUUCAUAUGAGCUAAUGGGCUUAUCUCAUCUUAUAUAUAUAUAUAUAUAUAUAUAUAUAUAUAUNNNNNNNNNNNNNNNNNNNNNNNNNNNNNNNNNNNNNNNNNNNNNNNNNNNNNNNNNNNNNNNNNNNNNNNNNNNNNNNNNNNNNNNNNNNNNNNNNNNNNNNNNNNNNNNNNNNNNNNNNNNNNNNNNNNNNNNNNNNNNNNNNNNNNNNNNNNNNNNNNNNNNNNNNNNNNNNNNNNNNNNNNNNNNNNNNNNNNNNNNNNNNNNNNNNNNNNNNNNNNNNNNNNNNNNNNNNNNNNNNNNNNAACCAUUACGUUGUAGUACGUCUACGAGUACUGGUACGGUGUAACUACUAUAUAUUACUAUAUAGUAGACGUAUAGGUGUAUACUCUAUAUAUAUAUAUAUAUAUAUAUAUAUAUAUAUAUAUGAGAUAAUCUAAACUUCACAACCCUUCAAAUUACAAAAAGUUCAAGAUAAAAAGAGGUGUGAAGGAUGAAUUUAUUAAUUUUAUAAUUUAUUUUUUAAAAAAGUUACCUUUUUGGUGCACUUUUGUAAAUAUUACUACAAGACUAAAGAUACUUUUGUCAUCUUCAUUAGGGGUAAAGUUGAAAUUUUAAUUAAAAGACAAAGGUACUCUACAAACAAAAUUCCAAGACACUAACUUCUAAAAUGCCAUUGUAUUUUUGUGAAAAUUUCAAAUUUGUCCUUGUUUAAUAGUAAGUUACCUAUUUAAAUAAUUUUUUAAUAAAAAAAUAAUGAUUGUUUUAAUAAAUACACCAAUCACAAUCCCUUUUGUAUUUUGAAAGGUUGUUAACUAUAGACAAACUCAUAUAUAUAUAUAUAUAUAUAU
rnacentral:lncRNA from 1 species